AUUGAAUGCUGGCGGCAGGCUUAACACAUGCAAGUCGAGCGGGGUGAUGGUGCUUGCACUAUCACUUAGCGGCGGACGGGUGAGUAAUGCUUAGGAAUCUGCCUAUUAGUGGGGGACAACAUCUCGAAAGGGAUGCUAAUACCGCAUACGUCCUACGGGAGAAAGCAGGGGAUCACUUGUGACCUUGCGCUAAUAGAUGAGACUAAGUAGGAUUAGCUAGUUGGUGGGGUAAAGGCCUACCAAGGCGACGAUCUGUAGCGGGUCUGAGAGGAUGAUCCGCCAAACUGGGACUGAGACACGGCCCAGACUCCUACGGGAGGCAGCAGUGGGGAAUAUUGGACAAUGGGGGGAACCCUGAUCCAGCCAUGCCGCGUGUGUGAAGAAGGCCUUAUGGUUGUAAAGCACUUUAAGCGAGGAGGAGGCUCUUUUGGUUAACACCCAAGAUGAGUGGACGUUACUCGCAGAAUAAGCACCGGCUAACUCUGUGCCAGCCGCCGCGGUAA
rnacentral:rRNA from 1 species